AUGAACGCUGGCGGCGUGCCUAAUGUAUGCAAGUCAAGGGGUCUCGCAAGAGAAACCGGCGGACGGGUGAGUAACGCGUGGGAAUCUCCCUCAAAGUUGGACAUAGCUUGCCGAAAGGUGAGGUAAUUUCCAGUGCGGAUGUAAGUCUAAAGAUUUAUCGCUUUGAGAUGAGCCCGCGUCCUAUCAGCUUGUUGGUGGGGUAAAAGCCUACCAAGGCGACGACGGGUAGCUGGUCUGAGAGGAUGGUCAGCCACAACUGCACUGAGACACGGGCAGUACACCUACGGGUGGCGCAGCAGGGAAUUUUCGACAAUGGGCGCAAGCCUGAUCGAGCGACGCCGCGUGGAGGAUUGAAGGCCUUCGGGUCGUAAACUCCUUUUGCGAAGGAAGAUUAUGACGGUACUUCGCGAAUAAGCACCUGCUAAUCACGUGCCAGAAGCCUCGGUAAGACGUGAGGUGCAAGCGUUAUCCGGAUUCAUUGGGCGUAAAGUGUUGCGUAGGCGGUUUGUCGCAUUUCACUUGAAAUCCUAUGGCUUAACCAUAGUUUUGGGUGAAAUAUGGGCAAACUUGAUGACUUAAGAGGGUACUGGAACUCAUCGUGUAGCAGUGAAAUGCGUUGAUAUGAUGAGGAACACCAAAGGCGUAGGCAGGUACCUGGGAAGUUCAUGACGCUGAGGCACGACAGCUUGGGGAGCGAAGCAGAUUAGAGACCUGCGUAGUCCAAGCCGUAAACGAUGGAUGCUAGAUAGAAGAAAUUUUUUUCUGUCGCAAGCUAACGCGUUAAGCAUCCCGCCUGGGGAGUACGAACGCAAGUUUAAAACUCAAAGGAAUUGACGGGGAGGCGCACAAGCAGUGGAGCAUGUGGUUUAAUUCGAUACGAAGCGCAAAACCUCACCAGGAUUUGACAUGUAUCUGCAAGCGCACGGAAACGUGUGACCUUCGAGGGUGAUACACAGAUGCUGCAUGGCUGUCGUAAGUUCGUGACGUGAGUUGUCCCGUUAAGUCGGUAAACGAACGAAACCCGCAUCGUAUGUUAAAUAGUUCAUACGAAACAGCCCCGUAAGGGGAGGAAGGGGCGGAUGACGUCAAGUCAGCACGGCUCUUACAUCCUGGGCUACACACAUCCUACAAUGGUUAAGACAAUGAGCAGCGAGCCGGCAACGGUAAGCAAAUCUCUUAAACUUAGCCUCAGUUCAGAUCGGGGUCUGCAAUUCGACCCCGUAAGUCGGAAUUGCUAGUAAUCGCGGAUCAGCAGGCCGCGGUGAAUACGUUCUCGCC
rnacentral:rRNA from 1 species